CUCCGGUUUAUCACCGGCAGUCUCCUUUGAGUUCCCGACCGAAUCGCUGGCAACAAAGGAUAAGGGUUGCGCUCGUUGCGGGACUUAACCCAACAUUUCACAACACGAGCUGACGACAGCCAUGCAGCACCUGUCUCAGAGUUCCCGAAGGCACUAAAGCAUCUCUGCUAAAUUCUCUGGAUGUCAAGAGUAGGUAAGGUUCUUCGCGUUGCAUCGAAUUAAACCACAUGCUCCACCGCUUGUGCGGGCCCCCGUCAAUUCAUUUGAGUUUUAACCUUGCGGCCGUACUCCCCAGGCGGUCGAUUUAACGCGUUAGCUCCGAAAAGCCACUCCUCAAGGGAACAACCUUCAAAAUCGACAUCGUUUUACAGCGUGGGACUACCCAGGGGUAUCUAAAUCCUGUUUUGCUCCCCCACGCUUUUCGCACCCUGAAGCGUUCAGGUCUUUUGUCCCAGGGGGGGCCCGCCCUUUCGCCCACCCGGGUAUUUCCCUCCCACAUUCUUCUACCGCCAUUUUCACCCGGCUAACACCAUGGGAAAUUUCUAACCCCCCCCUUCUAACAAAGAACUUCUAAGCUUGAACCCAAGUCCUUUAAGAAUGGCCCAUUUUCCCCAGGGGUUAAAGCCCCCGGGGGGA
rnacentral:rRNA from 1 species